rnacentral:rRNA from 1 species
AUGGUUAAAGAUCUCUUGGAUGAGGACUUAGAUGGGCAUGUUAUUUCUUUCUUGGGUGAGACUGCUAAUAUUGCUAGACCUGGUACUAAGACACGUAGACCUGUUGUAGGCAUGCCUGUUAUUUCUGUUAAAAUAGGAGAUCAUUGUUAUCAUGGCUUAUGUGAUAUGCGUGCUAGUGCUAGUGCGAUACCUUAUGAUCUUUAUAAAGAAAUUAUGCACGAUAUUGCACUCGUUGAAUUAGAAGACAGUGAUGUUACUAUUAAGCUUGCUAAUAGGGAUACCAUUAAACCUAUUGGGAUUGUUGGAGAUGUUGAAGUUUUGUGUGGGAAGAUUAAAUACCCCACUGAUUUUCUUGUUCUUGGUUCCCCACAAGAUGAUUUUUGUCCCAUUAUUUUUGGUAGACCAUUCUUGAAUACUGCUAGUGCUAAGAUUAAUUGCGAAAGGAAUAUUGUCAGUGUUGGCAUAGAUGGUAUGUCUCAUGAGUUUAAUUUUGCUAAGUUUAGUAGACAACCUCGUGAAAGGGAACCACCUAGUAAGGAUGAAAUUAUUGGUCUUGCUUCAAUUGCUAUUCCUCCAACUAAUCCGUUAGAACAAUAUUUGCUAGACCAUGAAAACGAUAUGUUUAUGAAGGAAAGGGAAGAAAUAGAUGAAGUGUUCCUUAAAUAG